rnacentral:rRNA from 1 species
GACGAACGCUGGCGGCGUGCUUAACACAUGCAAGUCGAACGGAAAGGCCCUGCUUUUGUGGGGUGCUCGAGUGGCGAACGGGUGAGUAACACGUGAGUAACCUGCCCUUGACUUUGGGAUAACUUCAGGAAACUGGGGCUAAUACCGGAUAGGAGCUCCUGCUGCAUGGUGGGGGUUGGAAAGUUUCGGCGGUGGGGGAUGGACUCGCGGCUUAUCAGCUUGUGGGUGGGGUAGUGGCUUACCAAGGCUUUGACGGGUAGCCGGCCUGAGAGGGUGACCGGCCACAUUGGGACUGAGAUACGACCCAGACUCCUACGGGAGGCAGCAGUGGGGAAUAUUGCACAAUGGGCGGAAGCCUGAUGCAGCAACGCCGCGUGCGGGAUGACGGCCUUCGGGUUGUAAACCGCUUUCGCCUGUGACGAAGCGUGAGUGACGGUAAUGGGUAAAGAAGCACCGGCUAACUACGUG